rnacentral:miRNA from 1 species
UCUGACACAUUUCAAGCACCAUU